rnacentral:rRNA from 1 species
GACAGCAGUAGCCACGGGAACACGGAGGGUGCAAGCGUUAAUCGGAAUUACUGGGCGUAAAGCGCACGCAGGCGGUCUGACAAGUCAGAUGUGAAAUCCCCGGGCUUAACCUGGGAACUGCAUUUGAAACUGUCAGGCUGGAGUCUUGUAGAGGGGGGUGGAAUUCCAGGUGUAGCGGUGAAAUGCGUAGAGAUCUGGAGGAAUACCGGUGGCGAAGGCGGCCCCCUGGACAAAGACUGACGCUCAGGUGCGAAAGCGUGGGGAGCAAACAGGAUUAGAUACCCCUGUAGUCCCUGUCUCUUAUAC